UUGAACGCUGGCGGCAUGCCUAACACAUGCAAGUCGAACGGUAACGGACCGCUGGGAUUCCUUCGGGAUGACCUUGGUGCCGACGAGUGGCGGACGGGUGAGUAACACUUAGGAAUCUGCCCAGUAGUGGGGGACAACAUUCGGAAACGGAUGCUAAUACCGCAUACGCACUACGGUGGAAAGUGGGGGAUCUUCGGACCUCACGCUAUUGGAUGAGCCCAAGUCGGAUUAGCUUGUAGGUAGGGUAAUGGCCUACCUAGGCGACGAUCCGUAGCUGGUCUGAGAGGACGAUCAGCCACACUGGGACUGAGACACGGCCCAGACUCCUACGGGAGGCAGCAGUGGGGAAUAUUGGACAAUGGGCGCAAGCCUGAUCCAGCAAUGCCGCGUGUGUGAAGAAGGCCUGCGGGUUGUAAAGCACUUUCAGUAGAGAAGAAAAGCCUAGGGUUAAUACCCCUGAGUCUUGACGUAACCUACAGAAGAAGCACCGGCUAACUCCGUG
rnacentral:rRNA from 1 species